UACGUAGGAGGCAAGCGUUGUCCGGAUUUAUUGGGCGUAAAGCGCGCGCAGGCGGUCCCUUAAGUCUGAUGUGAAAGCCCACGGCUCAACCGUGGAGGGUCAUUGGAAACUGGGAGACUUGAGUACAGAAGAGGAGAGCGGAAUUCGACGUGUAGCGGUGAAAUGCGUAGAUAUGUGGCGGAACACCAGUGGCGAAGGCGACUCUCUGGUCUGUAACUGACGCUGAGGCGCGAAAGCGUGGGGAGCAAACAUG
rnacentral:misc_RNA from 1 species